rnacentral:lncRNA from 1 species
GUUCUCAGGGUCAGUGGUUUCCCCUCCACCCAGCACCAAUGCAGGGACAGCUGCUCUCCUUGCUGCUCCUGCUCUGAGGUGGGCUUUUAUUUUAAGUCUAAGAUGUCAGAUUUCUGACCUCAUUUUGGAGAGACAUCCGGUUUUGUUUCUGAUGCCCCAUCCUCUGUGCAACUGUCUAAACAGAAAAAUAAAUUCCACUUUGGUUCCCGCCAAUUCCUUAUACGACUGCUGUGGAUUCCAUCCUUCAAUGCCAGCCCAGUAAUGCACUUACAAAGAUGCAUUUUGUAGGUUUACCCAACAUCUCAGUUGUUUUCGUUGGGAAAGCUAUUUAGUGUCCCUUAUGUUGAAAGUUGGAAGCGCCUGGCAGCACUAUAGGUGAGAGAGCUGCUCUUCCCCCUUUUCAUCAUCUUCACGCUGGGUCCAGGCCUUCUUCACUCUGUGAUUAAGAUGCCACAAUGGGCCGGGCAUGGUGGCUCAUGCCUGUAAUCUUAGCACUUUAGGAGGCCAAGGUGGGUGAAUCACCCGAGGCCAGGGGUUCAAGACCAACCUUACCAACAUGGUGAAACUCCGUCUCUACUAAGAGUACCAAAAAUUAGCCCGGCAUGGUGGUGGGUGCCUGUAAUCCAACUACUCUGGAAGCUGAGGCGGGAGAAUCGCUUGAACCAAGGAGGUGGAGGUUGCAGUGAGCUGAGAUCACGCCAUUGCACUCCAACCUGGGCAACAGAAGUAGCUGGGAUUACAGGCACCCACCACCAUGCCGGGCUAAUUUUGGUACUCUUAGUAGAGGCGGAGUUUCACCAUGUUGGCAAGGUUGGUCUUGAACCCCUGGCCUCGGGUGAUUCACCCACCUUGGCCUCCUAAAGUGCUAAGAUUACAGGCAUGAGCCACCAUGCCCGGCCCAUUGUGGCAUCUUAAUCACAGAGUGAAGAAGGCCUGGACCCAGCGUGAAGAUGAUGAAAAGGGGGAAGAGCAGCUCUCUCACCUAUAGUGCUGCCAAGCUUCAACUUUCAACAUAAGGGACACUAAAUAGCUUUCCCAACGAAAACAACUGAGAUGUUGGGUAAAACCUACAAAAAUGCAUCUUUGUAAGUGCAUUACUGGGCUGGCAUUGAAGGAUGGAAUCCACAGC